rnacentral:miRNA from 1 species
AAAGUGCUUCAUUGUUUGGGUGA